rnacentral:rRNA from 1 species
GAUGAACGCUGGCGGCGUGCCUAAUACAUGCAAGUCGAGCGAACAGAUAAGGAGCUUGCUCCUUUGACGUUAGCGGCGGACGGGUGAGUAACACGUGGGUAACCUACCUAUAAGACUGGGAUAACUUCGGGAAACCGGAGCUAAUACCGGAUAAUAUUUCGAACCGCAUGGUUCGAAAGUGAAAGAUGGUUUUGCUAUCACUUAUAGAUGGACCCGCGCCGUAUUAGCUAGUUGGUAAGGUAACGGCUUACCAAGGCGACGAUACGUAGCCGACCUGAGAGGGUGAUCGGCCACACUGGAACUGAGACACGGUCCAGACUCCUACGGGAGGCAGCAGUAGGGAAUCUUCCGCAAUUGGCGAAAGCCUGACGGAGCAACGCCGCGUGAGUGAUGAAGGUCUUCGGAUCGUAAAACUCUGUUAUUAGGGAAGAACAUACGUGUAAGUAACUGUGCACGUCUUGACGGUACCUAAUCAGAAAGCCACGGCUAACUACGUG